UACAGAGACUGCGAGCGUUAUUCGGAUUCACUGGGCGUAAAGGGUGCGCAGGCGGCCGUGUGUGUGAGGCGUGAAAGCCCGGGGCUUAACCCCGGAAUUGCACCUCAAACUACACGGCUAGAGCAUUGGAGAGGGUAGCAGAAUUCAUGGUGUAGCAGUGAAAUGCGUAGAUAUCAUGAGGAACACCAGUGGCGAAAGCGGCGCACUGGACCACAACUGACGCUGAGGCGCGAAAGCUAGGGGAGCAAACAGG
rnacentral:rRNA from 1 species